rnacentral:rRNA from 1 species
UGAACUGGGNGACUAGAGUGUGUCAGAGGGAGGUAGAAUUCCACGUGUAGCAGUGAAAUGCGUAGAGAUGUGGAGGAAUACCGAUGGCGAAGGCAGCCUCNUGGGAUAACACUGACGUUCAUGCCCGAAAGCGUGGGUAGCAAACAGGAUUAGAUACCCUGGUAGUCCACGCCCUAAACGAUGUCGAUUAGCUGUUGGGCAGCAUGACUGCUUAGUAGCGAAGCUAACGCGUGAAAUCGACCGCCUGGGGAGUACGGUCGCAAGAUUAAAACUCAAAGGAAUUGACGGGGACCCGCACAAGCGGUGGAUGAUGUGGAUUAAUUCGAUGCAACGCGAAGAACCUUACCUGGUCUUGACAUGUACGGAAUCCUCCAGAGACGGAGGAGUGCCUUCGGGAGCCGUAACACAGGUGCUGCAUGGCUGUCGUCAGCUCGUGUCGUGAGAUGUUGGGUUAAGUCCCGCAACGAGCGCAACCCUCGUCAUUAGUUGCCAUCAUUAAGUUGGGCACUCUAAUGAGACUGCCGGUGACAAGCCGGAGGAAGGUGGGGAUGACGUCAAGUCCUCAUGGCCCUUAUGACCAGGGCUUCACACGUCAUACAAUGGUCGGUACAGAGGGUAGCCAAGCCGCGAGGCGGAGCCAAUCUCACAAAACUGAUCGUAGUCCGGAUUGCACUCUGCAACUCGAGUGCAUGAAGUCGGAAUCGCUAGUAAUCGCAGGUCAGCAUACUGCGGUGAAUACGUUCCCGGGUCUUGUACACACCGCCCGUCACACCAUGGGAGUGGGGGAUACCAGAAGUAGGUAGGGUAACCGCAAGGAGCCCGCUUNCC